rnacentral:rRNA from 1 species
UACGAAGGACCCGAGCGUUAUCCGGAUUUAUUGGGGUUAAAGGGUGCGUAGGCGGACAUGCAAGUCAGUGGUGAAAUCUCCCUGCUCAACAGGGAAACUGCCAUUGAAACUAUGUGUCUUGAGUACAUUUGAGGCGGGCGGAAUGUGUCAUGUAGAGGUGAAAUUCUUAGAUAUGACACAGAACACCAAUUGCGAAGGCAGCUCGCUAAACUGUAACUGACGCUGAGGCACGAAAGCGUGGGGAUCAAACAGG